rnacentral:rRNA from 1 species
GACGAACGCUGGCGGCGCGCCUAACACAUGCAAGUCGAACGAGCGAGAGAGAGCUUGCUUUCUCGAGCGAGUGGCGAACGGGUGAGUAACGCGUGAGGAACCUGCCUCAAAGAGGGGGACAACAGUUGGAAACGACUGCUAAUACCGCAUAAGCCCACGGGUCGGCAUCGACCAGAGGGAAAAGGAGCAAUCCGCUUUGAGAUGGCCUCGCGUCCGAUUAGCUAGUUGGUGAGGUAAUGGCCCACCAAGGCGACGAUCGGUAGCCGGACUGAGAGGUUGAACGGCCACAUUGGGACUGAGACACGGCCCAGACUCCUACGGGAGGCAGCAGUGGGGAAUAUUGCACAAUGGGGGAAACCCUGAUGCAGCGACGCCGCGUGGAGGAAGAAGGUCUUCGGAUUGUAAACUCCUGUUGUUGAGGAAGAUAAUGACGGUACUCAACAAGGAAGUGACGGCUAACUACGUGCCAGCAGCCGCGGUAAAACGUAGGUCACAAGCGUUGUCCGGAAUUACUGGGUGUAAAGGGAGCGCAGGCGGGAAGACAAGUUGGAAGUGAAAUCUAUGGGCUCAACCCAUAAACUGCUUUCAAAACUGUUUUUCUUGAGUAGUGCAGAGGUAGGCGGAAUUCCCGGUGUAGCGGUGGAAUGCGUAGAUAUCGGGAGGAACACCAGUGGCGAAGGCGGCCUACUGGGCACCAACUGACGCUGAGGCUCGAAAGUGUGGGUAGCAAACAGGAUUAGAUACCCUGGUAGUCCACACCGUAAACGAUGAUUACUAGGUGUUGGAGGAUUGACCCCCUCAGUGCCGCAGUUAACACAAUAAGUAAUCCACCUGGGGAGUACGACCGCAAGGUUGAAACUCAAAGGAAUUGACGGGGGCCCGCACAAGCAGUGGAGUAUGUGGUUUAAUUCGACGCAACGCGAAGAACCUUACCAAGUCUUGACAUCCCUUGACGAACAUAGAAAUAUGUUUUCUCUUCGGAGCAAGGAGACAGGUGGUGCAUGGUUGUCGUCAGCUCGUGUCGUGAGAUGUUGGGUUAAGUCCCGCAACGAGCGCAACCCUUACUGUCAGUUACUACGCAAGAGGACUCUGGCAGGACUGCCGUUGACAAAACGGAGGAAGGUGGGGAGGACGUCAAAUCAUCAUGCCCUUUAUGACUUGGGCUACACACGUACUACAAUGGCGUUAAACAAAGAGAAGCAAGACCGCGAGGUGGAGCAAAACUCAGAAACAACGUCCCAGUUCGGACUGCAGGCUGCAACUCGCCUGCACGAAGUCGGAAUUGCUAGUAAUCGUGGAUCAGCAUGCCACGGUGAAUACGAUGCCGCCCCUUGCACU